CAGCCGCCACGGGAAUACGAAGGGUGCAAGCGUUACUCGGAAUUACUGGGCGUAAAGCGUGCGUAGGUGGUGGUUUAAGUCCGUUGUGAAAGCCCUGGGCUCAACCUGGGAAUUGCAGUGGAUACUGGGUCACUAGAGUGUGGUAGAGGAUAGUGGAAUUUCCGGUGUAGCAGUGAAAUGCGUAGAGAUCGGAAGGAACAUCUGUGGCGAAGGCGACUAUCUGGGCCAACACUGACACUGAGGCACGAAAGCGUGGGGAGCAAACAGGAUUAGAGACCCCCGUAGUCCCUGUCUCUUAUAU
rnacentral:rRNA from 1 species